GAUGAACGCUGGCGGCGUGCCUAAUACAUGCAAGUCGAGCGAACGGACGAGAAGCUUGCUUCUCUGAUGUUAGCGGCGGACGGGUGAGUAACACGUGGAUAACCUACCUAUAAGACUGGGAUAACUUCGGGAAACCGGAGCUAAUACCGGAUAAUAUUUUGAACCGCAUGGUUCAAAAGUGAAAGACGGUCUUGCUGUCACUUAUAGAUGGAUCCGCGCUGCAUUAGCUAGUUGGUAAGGUAACGGCUUACCAAGGCAACGAUGCAUAGCCGACCUGAGAGGGUGAUCGGCCACACUGGAACUGAGACACGGUCCAGACUCCUACGGGAGGCAGCAGUAGGGAAUCUUCCGCAAUGGGCGAAAGCCUGACGGAGCAACGCCGCGUGAGGGAUGAAGGUCUUCGGAUCGUAAAACUCUGUUAUUAGGGAAGAACAUAUGUGUAAGUAACUGUGCACAUCUUGACGGUACCUAAUCAGAAAGCCACGGCUAACUACGU
rnacentral:rRNA from 1 species